UCCCUGGUGGUCCAGUGGCUAAGACUCUGUUCUCCCAGUGAAGGGGGCCCGGGUUCAAUUCCUGGUCAGGGAA
rnacentral:tRNA from 1 species